GGCCUCAUGGUGUAACGGUUAGCAUAGGAGACUUUCAAUCUUCUGACGAGGGUUUGAUUCCUUUUGAGGCUA
rfam:Ktedonobacter racemifer DSM 44963 strain SOSP1-21 Krac_Contig205, whole genome shotgun sequence.